GAUGAACUGGAGGAAGAAGCCCGAAAAGCGGACCGAGAAAGUCGUUACGAGGAAGAAGAAGAACAAAGUCGAAGUAUGAGCCGGAAGAGGAAGGCAUCUGUGCACAGUUCGGGCCGUGGCUCUAACCGUGGUUCCAGACACAGCUCUGCACCCCCCAAGAAAAAGAGGAAGUAACUUCUGAACUUUGGCCCUGAGCUCCAUUCUUCCUCCAGCCAACCCCUGAAAAUUUUACAUGACAUAGAAACUGUAUUUUUCCUUUCGUUUUCAUUUGAAGUUUUGCCAUUUGUGUUUAUGGGUUUAGGGGGCCAUUUGUGUGGACCAAUCUACUCGGGGAAUUCCAGGCCCACCAGGACACGUGCCAAUGGCCCCAUUCAGAUGGCAAGGGAGGAGGUGUUCUUGAAGACAGGAGGAGGCUCCCGCUGUUAAUAAAUAUUGUUUCAUUCUUCUCUCUUCCUGUCACCUUCUGCCAAGACAUUGAUGGCUUCUGACAUCUUAUUUGGUGUCUCAAAGCUGUAUUUCCAAGACAGUGGUACAAGGUGACCCUUAAUUACCCGUAUCAUGGUUCUUGACCAGCACAUUCAAUCCUCCAACCUACCCUACUGCCAUGACCUUCCGCACAUCUCUAAGUUUUAUCUUUGCAAUACUCAAGGUUCUCGGAAAUUUGCUAAUGGUUGUGAUAAACCAUACAGCUUGAGCCAGUGAGGCAGAUUGGGCUGGUGCCUUCGUCUGAGUUUUCCUGCUUUCCUGCCUCGUGCAGAUUCUGAGGUAUAUCUGCUGCCUUGGAAGACAUAAGAAGCAGUGAUACUCCCUGGCUCGGUUAUUUUCUCCAUACAAUGCACACAUGGUACAAUGAUAGAAGGCAAAAUUGCCACUGUCUUCUUUUUUUUCUCAUAUAUCUAAGGAAGAUAUAUCAGGUUGUGCCUCAUGUACCGCUUCUAGUGAAAUGUAGAGGAAGGCUCAAAGGAGUCAACAUUUAUAUCUGGAAGGGACAAGUCAUGCCUUGGGCCUAGAAUACCCUGAUGAGAAAAGAGAAGAGGAAGGGAGGCCAUAUCUACAACACAGCCUCUCGGCACUGCUGCUCCUUAUUUUAACUUUGUCUUGCAUUGUCCUGUAUUUAUCACAGUUUCUGUUGAACAGCUUUUCAAGUAUUUGGGGAGUUUAUCUUGCCAUCCUCCCCUUCUGGUUCUCUGCACCCACCUGUCCCACUGCAGUUCCUUCCGUGCUCUGUGACUUUAAGAGAAGAAGGGGGGAGGGGUCCCGGAUUUUAUGUUUGUUUGUUUUUUCUCCUUAGCAGUAGGACUUGAUAUUUUCAAUUUUGGAAGAACUAAAAGAUGAAUAAACUGGGUUUUUUUUGUUGUUUGUUUUUGUAAAUUC
rnacentral:lncRNA from 1 species